rnacentral:rRNA from 1 species
UACAGAGGUCCCAAGCGUUGUUCGGAUUCACUGGGCGUAAAGGGUGCGUAGGCGGUCGGGUAAGUCUGAUGUGAAAUCUCACAGCUUAACUGUGAAACUGCAUUGGAUACUAUCCGGCUCGAGGAAUGGAGGGGAGACUGGAAUACUUGGUGUAGCAGUGAAAUGCGUAGAUAUCAAGUGGAACACCAGUGGCGAAGGCGAGUCUCUGGACAUUUCCUGACGCUGAGGCACGAAAGCUAGGGGAGCAAACAGG